rnacentral:pre_miRNA from 1 species
ACACAAAUCUCAUGGAGAACUUGUUAAAAUGCAGAUUCUCAUUCAAUGUCUGGGGUGGGGCUUGAGAUUCUGCAUGUGUAACAGGUUCCCAGGUGAUGCUGCU